rnacentral:snRNA from 1 species
GUGCUCACUUUGGCAGCACAUAGACUAAAACUGGAACAAUGCAGAGAAGAUUAGCAUGGCCCUUGUGCCAAAAAAAUAGGAAUUGGGGUGUUGCUUUUGUAU